rnacentral:rRNA from 1 species
GUGAGGAAUAUUGGUCAAUGGGCGAGAGCCUGAACCAGCCAAGUCGCGUGAGGGAAGACGGUCCUAUGGAUUGUAAACCUCUUUUGUCGGGGAGCAAUAAGGCCACGUGUGGUCGAAAGUGAGAGUACCCGAAGAAAAAGCAUCGGCUAACUCCGUGCCAGCAGCCGCGGUAAUACGGAGGAUGCGAGCGUUAUCCGGAUUUAUUGGGUUUAAAGGGUGCGUAGGCGGAAUGGAAAGUCAGCGGUAAAAUUUCCGGGCUCAACCCGGUCGUGCCGUUGAAACUGUCGUUCUUGAGUGAGCGAGAAGUAUGCGGAAUGCGUGGUGUAGCGGUGAAAUGCAUAGAUAUCACGCAGAACUCCGAUUGCGAAGGCAGCAUACCGGCGCUCAACUGACGCUGAAGCACGAAGGCGUGGGGAUCAAACAGG